GGAGGCCUAGGAUGAUUUAAGAUUUGCCUACAUUGUCAGAUUGUUCAGCCCAUGACACAUAUUGAGUGCUUCUGAGGCCAUC